UGGGGAAUCUUGCACAAUGGAGGAAACUCUGAUGCAGCGACGCCGCGUGAACGAUGAAGCCCUUCGGGGUGUAAAGUUCUUUCGUCAGGAACGAUAAUGACGGUACCUGGAGAAGAAGCUGCGGCUAACUACGUGCCAGCAGCCGCGGUAAUACGUAGGCAGCAAGCGUUGUUCGGAAUUAUUGGGCGUAAAGAGUAUGUAGGUGGUGUCGUAAGUUUGGUGUGAAAUCUCCUGGCUUAACUGGGAGGGUGCGCCGAAGACUGCGAUGCUGGAGUAUGGGAGAGGGAAUCGGAAUUCCUGGUGUAGCGGUGAAAUGCGUAGAUAUCAGGAGGAACACCUGUGGUGUAGACGGGUUCCUGGACCAUUACUGACACUGAGAUACGAAAGCGUGGGUAGCAAACAGG
rnacentral:rRNA from 1 species